CUUUAGGGGUUAAGAGCAUGGUCUCUGGAGCCAGAGUUCUUGGGCUCAAAUAUCAACCCUUUCACUAACUAGAGCUAUGAUCUAAGAUUACUUAACCUUUCUAUGCCUCAGUCCCUCAUUUAAAAAAUGAGGAAAAUAACAUAAUCUACCUCAUAGACCUAGUGUGAAGAUUCAAUGCGUUUAUGCAAAGUGCUAAGAACAGUGUCUCAAAGAUAGUAAGCACUAUAUAAAUGUUUGUUAUUAUCAUCCACCAACCUGCUCUGUCCACAACUUAGGGUCAUCGCCGGCCACAGCCAUGUACAAGUGACCUCUCUCCUCUCAUUCCACCCAACUGGCUUCCAGGUAAAGGCAGAGGACCCUCUUUGGGCUAUGGUUGGAUAAUCUGGAGGACAGAUUUUUUCUGACUCAGAAUGGAAGUCUACAUAACAGAAGAGGCUCUGAAAGCUUCAGAUGAUGCAACCAAGGAGGCUGCUGCUCUACGCUGAUCUUCCUGAUCUUCACCCAUCUCCACAGGUUCCCAGUGAGAAAUUACUUCAAAAUUCAGACUUCAAGGGGAAGAUGAAAGAAGGAUAUCCUAAAGUUGUACCUAAAUUUCUUUUCAGUGCCCCCUCCCACGUUUAAAGGUGUAUUUCGUUCAAGUAACUUACUUGUUGUCAUUAAUAAAUUCCAGAAUCUCCUGUUCUAA